UGGGGAAUAUUGCGCAAUGGGGGGAACCCUGACGCAGCAACGCCGCGUGAAGGAUGAAGGCCUUCGGGUUGUAAACUUCUUUGAUUGGGGAAGAAAUUUGACGGUACCCAAAGAACAAGCCACGGCUAACUACGUGCCAGCAGCCGCGGUAAUACGUAGGUGGCGAGCGUUGUCCGGAAUUACUGGGUGUAAAGGGCGUGUAGGCGGGGAUGCAAGUCAGAUGUGAAAUUCCGGGGCUCAACCCCGGCACUGCAUCUGAAACUGUGUCUCUUGAGUGCUGGAGAGGAAAGUGGAAUUCCUAGUGUAGCGGUGAAAUGCGUAGAGAUUAGGAGGAACACCAGUGGCGAAGGCGACUUUCUGGACAGUAACUGACGCUGAGGCGCGAGAGCGUGGGGAGCAAACAGG
rnacentral:rRNA from 1 species